rnacentral:rRNA from 1 species
AACGUAGGUACCGAGCGUUAUCCGGAUUUACUGGGCGUAAAGCGCGUUCAGGCGGUUUGGCAAGUCUGGCAUGAAAUCUCUCGGCUCAACCGGGAGAGGGUGUCCGAUACUGCUGGACUGGAGGGCAGUAGAGGGUGGUGGAAUUCCGGGUGUAGUGGUGAAAUGCUUAGAUAUGUCAUAGAACACCGAUUGCGAAGGCAGCUCACAAAGCCAUUAUUGACGCUGAGGCACGAAAGCGUGGGGAUCAAACAGG